GCAAUGAAGACUAAUUUGGUUUUGAUCAGCAAUGAGAAAAACACACCAAUACCUCUAAGAAGUUCUGAGCUC